rnacentral:rRNA from 1 species
UACGAAGGGGGCUAGCGUUGCUCGGAAUGACUGGGCGUAAAGGGCGCGUAGGCGGCUCUAUUUGUCAGGCGUGAAAUUCCUGGGCUCAACCUGGGGGCUGCGCUUGAGACGGUGGGGCUAGAGGUCAGAAGAGGCUCGUGGAAUUCCCAGUGUAGAGGUGAAAUGCGCAGAUAUCGGGAAGAACACCCGUGGCGAAGGCGGCUCUCUGGGACGGUACUGACGCUGAGACGCGAAAGCGUGGGGAGCGAACAGG